UAGGGAAUCUUCCGCAAUGGACGCAAGUCUGACGGAGCAACGCCGCGUGAGUGAAGAAGGAUUUCGGUUCGUAAAACUCUGUUGUUAGAGAAGAACAGCGCAUAGAGUAACUGUUAUGCGUGUGACGGUAUCUAACCAGAAAGCCACGGCUAACUACGUGCCAGCAGCCGCGGUAAUACGUAGGUGGCAAGCGUUAUCCGGAAUUAUUGGGCGUAAAGCGCGCGUAGGCGGUUUUUUAAGUCUGAUGUGAAAGCCCACGGCUCAACCGUGGAGGGUCAUUGGAAACUGGAAAACUUGAGUGCAGAAGAGGAAAGUGGAAUUCCAUGUGUAGCGGUGAAAUGCGUAGAUAUAUGGAGGAACACCAGUGGCGAAGGCGACUCUCUGGUCUGUAACUGACGCUGAGGCUCGAAAGCGUGGGUAGCAAACAGG
rnacentral:rRNA from 1 species